GACGAACGCUGGCGGCGUGCCUAACACAUGCAAGUCGAACGAUGAAGCCGGAGCUUGCUCUGGUGAAUUAGUGGCGAACGGGUGAGUAACACGUGAGUAACCUGCCCUUGACUCUGGGAUAACUGCGGGAAACUGUAGCUAAUACCGGAUACGACCCUCGGAGGCAUCUCCUGGGGGUGGAAAGAAUUUCGGUCAAGGAUGGACUCGCGGCCUAUCAGCUAGUUGGUGAGGUAAAGGCUCACCAAGGCGACGACGGGUAGCCGGCCUGAGAGGGUGACCGGCCACACUGGGACUGAGACACGGCCCGGACUCCUACGGGAGGCAGCAGUGGGGAAUAUUGCACAAUGGGCGCAAGCCUGAUGCAGCAGCGCCGCGUGAGGGAUGACGGCCUUCGGGUUGUAAACCUCUUUUAGCAGGGAAGAAGCGAAAGUGACGGUACCUGCAGAAAAAGCACCGGCUAACUACGUGCCAGCCGCCGCGGUAA
rnacentral:rRNA from 1 species